rnacentral:misc_RNA from 1 species
GCUCCAAUGUAUACAAGGUGUGCUAUAGGAAACAGUGAAGAUGCUAACCUUCACAGUCACUCUUGACCCUCUACCAGGUACCUUACCACUCACGCAUCUAACCGUAACUAAUAAAAGUACAAAAGCUUGUAUUGUGUAAACAGAAGGCUACUUUCAAGUCAAGUUUUGCUAUACCCAGUGACAAGCUUGUACAGCCGGACGAGCAUCUCAGGAUGUUAUGCUUAAAAGAAAAUUAAGACAAG